CAGCUGUGUCUCCCUCCUGUUUUCCAUUCCCUGAUUACUUCCCUGUGUAUAUUAGCCCUGUGUUUGCCCUUGCUCAGUGUCGUGUUGUACCCUCAGAAUUAUGCCUGUGUGUUUCAGUUCUCAGUGGUCUUUGUUCAGUUCAGUUCAGUUCAGUUCAGGUUUUUGUUUUCUCCAGCAAUAAAGCUGAGGUUUUUUUGAGUCGCUGUGUCCGAGUCCUGCAAUUGGAUCCUCAUCUCCGCCUGCCCGCACACAGAGCCCUGACAAUUCCAUAAAUAACAAGUGCGAAAAGCUCGGUCCCCCCAGUGUUUCAGUCUCGACAUGGGGACAGCAAGGAGUGACUGGUCAGUUGAUCUGAGAGACCUUUGUGGAGUGUAUAGGUGUGGAAGGUCUGACAGCUGUUUUACUGAGCCAUGAGCUCCAUGAAGAGAGUCCAGUGAUUCCACUAGAUGGAUCCUUCCAGCGUGAUCUCCAGGAUCCAGACCUGCACACACUCAGACUGCGGGGAUUUAUCUGCCUUGUAGGAGGAUCGCAUCACUCACCCCGACUGCACUUCAGGAUGGAAACACUGGUUUGGUCAAAGCACAAACUCUCACCCACAGAGCAGAGGAAGGAGGAAACAUCACAGUUGCAUGCUUCUUUGCUUUCCCUGGAAUCAGGAAACUGUUCUGUAAGGAAAAAUGUGAAAAUGGAAACAUUCUUGUUGAAACAUCUGAUGAUGCAGCUCAGAACGGCAGAUACAGCAUUAAAUAUGAACAAACAUAUAUUACCUCAUAUUCUACUCUGUAUGUGAGCAUCACACAGCUGAAACAGUCUGACUCAGGACGGUACAGGUGCUCUUUGGACAGAGUCUUGUGGGAUGGAAACGAUAAUUUUGAGCUGAUUGUCACAGAAGGUGAGUUUCUGCUAACAGUCGUGUUUGUCUUUGAAGGUGUGACAGAAGUUUCCCGUCUCAAAGGCAGCUACUUUUCUUUCAAAUCACCUACAGAUGUUAUAUUUAUCUGAAACAUCAAGUUUCAUCAGUUCUGCUGUCAAACAGCCCAUAACCACGUCAGUCACAUGCAGAUAUAUAAACUGCUUCAAGUGGUCUUAUUAUGACUCUGAUGGUUUCAUUGUUCACAGCUUCAACCACUUCAACACCAAACGGGACUCUGAGACCUUUUUCAGCUUCAGUGUUUCUCUCAUCAGCCUCCAAACCACCAACAACACAGAGUUUAAGCUCAACUUCAGGAAG
ensembl:lncRNA